UUGAACUGUAAACGACCUGUAAUCAUCUGUAAAUGGUGUGAGACACACUGAGGCCACCUACAGGGCAGCUGGGGAACAGCAGGGAUCUGAAAUCAUACGAGACGUUAGUGAUUAGAACAAACGGACUUAAGAUGGCUCGAAGUGAUCAAAGUUGGUCUAAAACAGAAGAUAAAUCCAAAGCAGCAUCAGAUGAAUGUUACCAUUUCCAGUUACGGUGCCCUUCAUCUAAUAUGGAAAUGUGUUGUUGUUUUUUUGCCGUGUUGUUGUUCUUCCUAUUGUGUUUAGGCCAGAGAUGCUCUUCAAACAGCGGACAGACAUGACCACAUUACAAGAACAUGGUGUGAGUCCGAUUUGAUAUUCCAGUCAACGCUGAGAGACCUUAACCAGGAAGUCAGAGGUCAGCUGAUGCUGCGAGCAGGAAGUGAACCAAGGGAAAGGUCCACUCUACUCAAUCUCAAAGAAAAUAUGCUGACGGACAGGGAAUCAGUUGCUGUACGAUGACAUCAUCUUGAUGUUGACGAGGAGGGCGAGAAAAACUAGUUUUGUCCUGCAGAUGGCGAUCUUGCACCGUGUUCAGAGAGCCGACACUUUGAUGGUGCUGCUCUACUCAGCUUACUUUAGCCUGGGUUGGACUCUAUAUGAGCAGCUUCCACUCUGGUUUCACUCUUAAACACACUUGUUUGAUUUCACUUGUAAAAGUUGAAGAAUAAAUAUUUUAUUACAAAA
ensembl:lncRNA